ACGAAGGGUGCAAGCGUUGUUCGGAAUCACUGGGCGUAAAGCGCACGUAGGUGGGUUCGUGUGUCGAUUGUGAUAGCCCCGGGCUCAACCUGGGAAUUGCAGUCGAAACUGCGGAUCUUGAAUACCUGAGAGGGUGGGGGAAUUGCUGGUGGAGAAGUGAAAUUCGUAGAUAUCAGCAGGAACACCUGAGGCGAAGGCGCCUACCUGGCAGUGUAUUGACGCUGAGGUGCGAAAGCGCGGGGAGCAAACAGGA
rnacentral:rRNA from 1 species